GCUGCGUGGACACCCUGGGAGGUCGCUCUCCCUGGGCUCCGUCCUAGUGGCUUACAGAGCAUAUGGCAUCCACCGCUCAGUGAUGUACAGUCCCUUUCCACAGCACUGGAGAUGGAGCUGGGCUUGAGUCUGCAUCUGUAUAUUCCUAUGACUUUUCAGUCCCGUGGACAAUGAAUGACUAAGGAGACAAACCAUGCAGGAAAUAGUC